GACGAACGCUGGCGGCGUGCUUAACACAUGCAAGUCGAACGGUAAGGCCUUCGGGUACACGAGUGGCGAACGGGUGAGUAACACGUGGGUGAUCUGCCACCUACUCUGGGAUAAGCAUGGGAAACUGGGUCUAAUACCGGAUAUGACCUCCUUCUGCAUGGUUGGUGGUGGAAAGUUUUUUCGGUAGGGGAUGAGCCCGCGGCCUAUCAGCUUGUUGGUGGGGGAAUGGCCUACCAAGGCGACGACGGGUAGCCGGCCUGAGAGGGCGACCGGCCGCACUGGGACUGAGACACGGCCCAGACUCCUACGGGAGGCAGCAGUGGGGAAUAUUGCACAAUGGGCGAAGGCCUGAUGCAGCGAGGCCGCGUGGGGGAUGACGGCCUUCGUGUUGUAAACCCCUUUCAGUCGGGACGAAGCGAGAGUGACGGUACCGAUAGAAGAAGCACCGGCCAACUACGUGCCAGCCGCCGCGGUAACAC
rnacentral:rRNA from 1 species